UACGAACUGUGCGAACGUUAUUCGGAAUCACUGGGCUUAAAGGGUGCGUAGGCGGCGAAUCAAGUCUGUUGUGAAAUCUCUCGGCUCAACCGAGAAAGUGCAGUGGAAACUGGUUUGCUAGAGUGAGGCAGGGGUGUAGGGAACUUCCAGUGGAGCGGUGAAAUGUGUUGAUAUUGGAAGGAACACCGGUGGCGAAAGCGUUACACUGGGCCUUUUCUGACGCUGAGGCACGGAAGCCAGGGGAGCGAACGGG
rnacentral:rRNA from 1 species